rnacentral:rRNA from 1 species
GAUGAACGCUGGCGGCGUGCCUAAUACAUGCAAGUCGAGCGAACGGACGAGAAGCUUGCUUCUCUGAUGUUAGCGGCGGACGGGUGAGUAACACGUGGAUAACCUACCUAUAAGACUGGGAUAACUUCGGGAAACCGGAGCUAAUACCGGAUAAUAUUUUGAACCGCAUGGUUCAAAAGUGAAAGACGGUCUUGCUGUCACUUAUAGAUGGAUCCGCGCUGCAUUAGCUAGUUGGUAAGGUAACGGCUUACCAAGGCAACGAUGCAUAGCCGACCUGAGAGGGUGAUCGGCCACACUGGAACUGAGACACGGUCCAGACUCCUACGGGAGGCAGUAGUAGGGAAUCUUCCGCAAUGGGCGAAAGCCUGACGGAGCAACGCCGCGUGAGUGAUGAAGGUCUUCGGAUCGUAAAACUCUGUUAUUAGGGAAGAACAUAUGUGUAAGUAACUGUGCACAUCUUGACGGUACCUAAUCAGAAAGCCACGGCUAACUACGUGCCAGCAGCCGCGGUAAUACGUAGGUGGCAAGCGUUAUCCGGAAUUAUUGGGCGUAAAGCGCGCGUAGGCGGUUUUUUAAGUCUGAUGUGAAAGCCCACGGCUCAACCGUGGAGGGUCAUUGGAAACUGGAAAACUUGAGUGCAGAAGAGGAAAGUGGAAUUCCAUGUGUAGCGGUGAAAUGCGCAGAGAUAUGGAGGAACACCAGUGGCGAAGGCGACUUUCUGGUCUGUAACUGACGCUGAUGUGCGAAAGCGUGGGGAUCAAACAGGAUUAGAUACCCUGGUAGUCCACGCCGUAAACGAUGAGUGCUAAGUGUUAGGGGGUUUCCGCCCCUUAGUGCUGCAGCUAACGCAUUAAGCACUCCACCUGGGGAGUACGACCGCAAGGUUGAAACUCAAAGGAAUUGACGGGGACCCGCACAAGCGGUGGAGCAUGUGGUUUAAUUCGAAGCAACGCGAAGAACCUUACCAAAUCUUGACAUCCUUUGACAACUCUAGAGAUAGAGCUUUCCCCUUCGGGGGACAAAGUGACAGGUGGUGCAUGGUUGUCGUCAGCUCGUGUCGUGAGAUGUUGGGUUAAGUCCCGCAACGAGCGCAACCCUUAAGCUUAGUUGCCAUCAUUAAGUUGGGCACUCUAAGUUGACUGCCGGUGACAAACCGGAGGAAGGUGGGGAUGACGUCAAAUCAUCAUGCCCCUUAUGAUUUGGGCUACACACGUGCUACAAUGGACAAUACAAAGGGCAGCGAAACCGCGAGGUCAAGCAAAUCCCAUAAAGUUGUUCUCAGUUCGGAUUGUAGUCUGCAACUCGACUACAUGAAGCUGGAAUCGCUAGUAAUCGUAGAUCAGCAUGCUACGGUGAAUACGUUCCCGGGUCU